rnacentral:lncRNA from 1 species
GUCCUUCUGGGUCUCUAUGGGUCUCUAUGAGUCCCUAGGGUUCCUAUAGGGCUCUAUGGGCCUCUAUGGGUCCUUAUCGGUCUCUAUGGGGCUCUAUGGGGCUCUGUGGGUCUCUAUGGGUCCCUAUGUGUCCCUAUGGGUCUUUAUGGGAUCUGUGGGUCUCUAUUGGGUCCCUAUGUGUCCCUAUGGGUCUCUAUGGGUCUCUAUGUGUCCCUAUGGGUCGCUGUGGGUCCCCGUGUGUCCCUAUGGGUCUCUAUGGGUCCCCCUGUGUCCCCCUGUGUCCCUAUGGGUCCCUAUGGGUCCCCAUGUGUCCCUAUGUGUCCCCCUGUGUCCCCGUGUCCCUAUGGGCGGCCAUGGGUCCCGCAGACGUUCGGGCGCCGCGCUCUGCCCGCCCUGCACUGGCUUUUCCCGCUGGCCGUCACCUUGUCCACCUUCGGCGGCGUCAACGGAUCCCUGUUCACCUGCUCCAGGUCUGCCCCAUAGCCGCCCCAUAGCCGCCCCAUAGCCACCCCAUAGCCACCCCAUGGCCGCCCCAUAGCUGCCCCAUAGAGACCCCAUAGAUACCCCAUAGCUGCCCCACAGCCGCCCCAUAGAUACCCCAUAACUGCCCCAUAGAUACCCCAUAGCUGCCCCAUAGCCGCCCCAUAGCUGCCCUAUAGCUGCCUCAUGGCUGCCCCACGGCUGCCCCACAGCUGCCCCAUAACUGCCCCAUAGCCGCCCCAUGGC